UAAUACAUUUAAAGGCAAUCCAAAAAUCUUACCGAAUUUCAAAACAAAUUCAUCACCCAUCUACCCAUCCAAAAAUGUCUCCCUGCAACUGCAACUGCUGUGCCGGCGACUGCAACUCCUGCAGCUGCACCAGCUGCUCUGUGAGUUGAUAUAAAAACAAGGGUU
rfam:Blastomyces dermatitidis ER-3 genomic scaffold supercont1.8, whole genome shotgun sequence.